rnacentral:rRNA from 1 species
GGGGUAUACGGAGUUCACUCCCAACCCCUGUGACAUACCAAUUGUUGCCUCGGCGGAUCAGCCCGCUCCCGGUAAAACGGGACGGCCCGCCAGAGGACCCCUAAACUCUGUUUCUAUAUGUAACUUCUGAGUAAAACCAUAAAUAAAUCAAAACUUUCAACAACGGAUCUCUUGGUUCUGGCAUCGAUGAAGAACGCAGCAAAAUGCGAUAAGUAAUGUGAAUUGCAGAAUUCAGUGAAUCAUCGAAUCUUUGAACGCACAUUGCGCCCGCCAGUAUUCUGGCGGGCAUGCCUGUUCGAGCGUCAUUUCAACCCUCAAGCCCAGCUUGGUGUUGGGACUCGCGAGUCAAAUCGCGUUCCCCAAAUUGAUUGGCGGUCACGUCGAGCUUCCAUAGCGUAGUAGUAAAACCCUCGUUACUGGUAAUCGUCGCGGCCACGCCGUUAAACCCCAACUUCUGAAUGUUGACCUCGGAUCAGGUAGGAAUACCCGCUGAACUUAAGCAUAUCAAA